rnacentral:rRNA from 1 species
AGCGAACGCUGGCGGCAGGCCUAACACAUGCAAGUCGAACGGACCCUUCGGGGUUAGUGGCGGACGGGUGAGUAACACGUGGGAACGUGCCUUUAGGUUCGGAAUAGCUCCUGGAAACGGGUGGUAAUGCCGAAUGUGCCCUGCGGGGGAAAGAUUGAUCGCCUUUAGAGCGGCCCGCGUCUGAUUAGCUAGUUGGUGGUGUAAAGGACCACCAAGGCGACGAUCAGUAGCUGGUCUGAGAGGAUGAUCAGCCACAGUGGGACUGAGACACGGCCCAAACUCCUACGGGAGGCAGCAGUGGGGAAGCUUGCGCAAUGGGCGAAAGCCUGACGCAGCCAUGCCGCGUGAAUGAUGAAGGUCUUAGGAUUGUAAAAUUCUUUCACCGGGGACGAUAAUGACGGUACCCGGAGAAGAAGCCCCGGCUAACUUCGUGCCAGCCGCCGCAGUAACAC